rnacentral:rRNA from 1 species
AAUCUACCUCCGAGUGGGGAAUAACUGAGAGAAAUCUUAGCUAAUACCGCAUAAUACCCACGGGUCAAAGCAGCAAUGCGCUUGGAGAGGAGUUCGCGGCCGAUUAGCUAGUUGGCGGGGUAAUGGCCCACCAAGGCGAUGAUCGGUAUCCGGCCUGAGAGGGCGCACGGACACACUGGAACUGAAACACGGUCCAGACUCCUACGGGAGGCAGCAGUGGGGUAUUUUGCGCAAUGGGGGAAACCCUGACGCAGCAACGCCGCGUGGAG